AGGUAGAAACGAAGGAAAAGAGUUGUCGCACAUUUUAUUUGUGAGAAGCCGAGCAGACAACCUGUGUAGACCAGCACGAUUCGGGAGAAGAACUUUAUUGAACAACUCAAGAGGGUUUUUCCUACGAACGUUUUGUUUUCCUUUGAACAUCCUGGUGAGUUGGAGUUUUAAUUUCCAGUUAAACUGUAUGCACGUGCUGUAGGGAGACGGACAUGUAGAUUCAGAUUAUGCAAAUGAGUGCAUGUUGCCAUAAUAAAUAAAAACAGGUCAGGAUUUGUUUUUGGAGGAAAUAAUUGAUUACCGUGUACCAUGAGCUAGCAUAGCUACAUUUUUUUUAGCUUGCCACGUUGCACAAGUUAGCAGACCUGCACGUGGGGUGAAGUGAAUUAUCUUUUGUUACUUUUUGUGUGCAAUUUAUCUUGUUGCAGUUACAUAUAUGAGGAAUUAUAUUUUUUCAUUUGUAAGUACACUCAGAACUUAUUUGGAACCGUGUAAGUAAACAUUUGUUUUAGCUAUUUAUUUUUUUAUUUUGCAAAUUCAGUAAUUGUUCUGCACACUUGUGUGCAGACAGUUUUUCUUUUCUAUGCUGGACUCUCCUUGAAGAUCCAAAGUGCACCAACCGGGAUUCUGCGCGGCUGAAUUUCGGGAAAUCUGGACAUCUUGAAUCGGAAGGUUAAGCAGGAGCGCGGAACUGUUCCCUCACACUGAGGUGAAGAACUAUCCGGACUGGGUGUUCGCCAUCAUCAUCCUCCUCUGCAUCGUUCCUGUGGUUGUGGUCAGACUGAUUCGCUCUAGAGUCAAAAGGUCAUCCACUGCAGCCAACCUGAACCCCUGUGGAGUUACAUCUGCAGGAAAUCCAGCAGAGCCCCGGGGUUAGAGGCCUGUUGGACCCUGGCAAGCCUCAGGUCUAGAAGCCUCUCCAGGUGGCGCUUCUGUAACGGAUGUGAACUUUCACCUCCGUCCAUACAGAAACUCACGGCACUGGGUAGUUUGACAGCUUUACUCUGGUCUGUAACGGGCAUAAAACAAAAUUUUACAAUUUGUUCCCACCGGCAGUAACACAUCUGGCUCCCCUCUGCAGCUCUCUCUGCUCUGCGAAGGCCAAAAAUCAUAACAUUACAGUUAUUAAUUACAUUUUUUUUUCCAGAAAUUACAUUCAGUAAACUCUAAUAAUUAAUAUAUUCUAUAAAUGACAGCAAUUGUUAUUAUUUUUUCUUAUUGAAUGUAUACUGUUGUUUGACUAUUGCUCAGUUUGUUUCUUUAAAUGGCACUACAGCGCCUCCCUGUGGAUGCUUUUGUAACGUGCGCAACAAUUUCAUUUUUUUCCAUUGGAGCACGUAUCUGUUUUUCUUUGCUGGUACACUCAAGGACCGUACACUUGGAUGGAGUCUACAGUUAAUUUUUUUGUAGAUCGCACCCCUUUGUAAGCGGAAUGAGGUAAAAUACAGAUACAAUGUUUUGUUUUUGUAUUUCUUGAAGUGAAUGUAAAUUUGUUUAUUUUAAUUUAUGAAAUAUGUUUGACAGUUCUUUUAUUUGUGACGCAGUUUCCCAAUGUUAACUGACACAUUUUUUGUGUAUUGAGGAAACUUUGUUAUAUGUAUAAGUGAAACUGAAAAUGUCUUUGUUGUAUUGUUUAGUUUUCACGGUGCACAACUACUUUGGAUGGUUACAUCAAAGAGACCAAUAAAGUACGCACUUGUUUGAA